UGAACGCUGGCGGCGUGCCUAAUACAUGCAAGUCGAGCGAACAGACGAGGAGCUUGCUCCUCUGACGUUAGCGGCGGACGGGUGAGUAACACGUGGAUAACCUACCUAUAAGACUGGGAUAACUUCGGGAAACCGGAGCUAAUACCGGAUAAUAUAUUGAACCGCAUGGUUCAAUAGUGAAAGACGGUUUUGCUGUCACUUAUAGAUGGAUCCGCGCCGCAUUAGCUAGUUGGUAAGGUAACGGCUUACCAAGGCAACGAUGCGUAGCCGACCUGAGAGGGUGAUCGGCCACACUGGAACUGAGACACGGUCCAGACUCCUACGGGAGGCAGCAGUAGGGAAUCUUCCGCAAUGGGCGAAAGCUUGCCGGAGCCACGCCGCGUGAGUGAUGAAGGUCUUCGGAUCGUAAAACUCUGUUAUUAGGGAAGAACAAAUGUGUAAGUAACUAUGCACGUCUUGACGGUACCUAAUCAGAAAGCCACGGCUAACUACGUG
rnacentral:rRNA from 1 species